UAUAUUUUAAUGUAAAAUUGCAUAUAAAUUUUUGAAUUUUAUAGAAAUAGUUAGAUCUAUUAAAUAUAA
rnacentral:tRNA from 1 species